rnacentral:rRNA from 1 species
GAUGAACGCUGGCGGCGUGCCUAAUACAUGCAAGUCGAGCGAACAGACGAGGAGCUUGCUCCUCUGACGUUAGCGGCGGACGGGUGGGUAACACGUGGAUAACCUACCUAUAAGACUGGGAUAACGUCGGGAAACCGGAGCUAAUACCGGAUAAUAUAUUGAACCGCAUGGUUCAAUAGUGAAAGACGGGUUUGCUGUCACUUAUAGAUGGAUCCGCGCCGCAUUAGCUAGUUGGUAAGGUAACGGCUUACCAAGGCGACGAUGCGUAGCCGACCUGAGAGGGUGAUCGGCCACACUGGAACUGAGACACGGUCCAGACUCCUACGGGAGGCAGCAGUAGGGAAUCUUCCGCAAUGGGCGAAAGCCUGACGGAGCAACGCCGCGUGAGUGAUGAAGGUCUUCGGAUCGUAAAACUCUGUUAUUAGGGAAGAACAAAUGUGUAAGUAACUAUGCACGUCUUGACGGUACCUAAUCAGAAAGCCACGGCUAACUACGUG